rnacentral:rRNA from 1 species
AAAGAUUAAGCCAUGCAUGUCUAAGUAUAAGCAAUCUAUACAGUGAAACUGCGAAUGGCUCAUUAAAUCAGUUAUCGUUUAUUUGAUAGUACCUUACUACUUGGAUAACCGUGGUAAUUCUAGAGCUAAUACAUGCUAAAAAUCCCAACCUCUGGAAGGGAUGUAUUUAUUAGAUAAAAAACCAAUGCCCUUCGGGGCUUCUUGGUGAUUCAUGAUAACUAAACGGAUCGCAUGGCCUUGCGCCGGCGACGGUUCAUUCAAAUUUCUGCCCUAUCAACUUUCGAUGGUAAGGUAUUGGCUUACCAUGGUUU